CCUACGGGUGGCAGCAGUAGGGAAUAUUGCUCAAUGGGGGAAACCCUGAAGCAGCAACGCCGCGUGGAGGAUGAAGGUUUUCGGAUUGUAAACUUCUUUUGUUAGAGAAGAUAAUGACGGUAUCUAACGAAUAAGCACCGGCUAACUCCGUGCCAGCAGCCGCGGUAAUACGGAGGGUGCAAGCGUUACUCGGAAUCACUGGGCGUAAAGAGCGCGUAGGCGGGAUAGUAAGUCAGAUGUGAAAUCCUAUGGCUUAACCAUAGAACUGCAUUUGAAACUGUUAAGCUAGAGUAUGGGAGAGGUAGGUGGAAUUCUUGGUGUAGGGGUGAAAUGCGUAGAGAUCAAGAGGAAUACUCAUUGCGAAGGCGGCCUGCUAGAACAUAACUGACGCUGAUGCGCGAAAGCGUGGGGAGCAAACAGGAUUAGAUACCCCAGUAGUC
rnacentral:rRNA from 1 species